rnacentral:tRNA from 1 species
GGGCCUGUAGUUCAAUUGGCAGAACCCGCCGCUCAUAACGGUGUAGUUGUAGGUUCGAGUCCUACCGGGCCCACCA